rnacentral:rRNA from 1 species
UGGCGAACGGGUGAGUAACACGUGGGUGAUCUGCCCUGCACUUCGGGAUAAGCCUGGGAAACUGGGUCUAAUACCGGAUAGGAGCCAUUUUUAGUGUGAUGGUUGGAAAGUUUUUCGGUGUAGGAUGAGCUCGCGGCCUAUCAGCUUGUUGGUGGGGUAAUGGCCUACCAAGGCGGCGACGGGUAGCCGGCCUGAGAGUGUGGACGGCCACAUUGGGACUGAGAUACGGCCCAG